UACGGGGGGGCGAGCGUUAUUCGGAAUUAUUGGGCGUAAAGGGCGCGUAGGCGGCCGCGUAAGUCAAAGGUGAAAUCCCUCAGCUCAACUGAGGAACUGCCUUUGAUACUGCAUGGCUUGAGGCCGGGAGGGGGUAGCGGAAUUCCCAGUGUAGCGGUGAAAUGCGUAGAUAUUGGGGAGGAACACCAGUGGCGAAGGCGGCGACCUGGACAAGUACUGACACUCAACUACGAAAGCG
rnacentral:rRNA from 1 species